UAGAUGGCUUCUGGUAGGGAGGAGUUCCCUCUUAAGGAAGUUGAGAGAGGCUUUCUUGGUUCAAGAGAUCCUCUGGGUCUUUUUGGCUUCUACUGAAAAUGCCUGGGCCCUACCUUCUCACCACGUGGAUUUCCACCAAAUAUGGCUAAUCCUACUUAGACUUUUGGAAUCUCAUGUGAGCAUCCAGCAUUUUGCCAUUAAUUCUGUAUUUAAGGUGCUGACACUUUGAGAACUUGGACUCCAGGCCUUGCUUGAUUCAUGAACCUUUUAGUACACUUUUUCUAGCUUGGGCAAUAGGAGAUUUUCAAUCUCUUAUAUGCCACCCAAGACCUGGGGAAUCAGUGACACUACGUCAGCCACUUGCUAUUUGCCAAAUUCUUCCAUAUUAUGAUUUCUAAUCUACUUUAGCUUUCCUCAUCCCAUGCCACAGUAGUGCAGGAGGCCUGGUGAGGUUGUCUCCUCCCAGGCUGGCCCCAGCCCCUAUUGCCCUGUCUCAUUGUAAAAUAGCACACUCAUUGAUGAGUGGUGAUUGUCAUGGAAAGGACGGAGGUGCUUGCUCUCAUGCCCUAUAUGCACCAUUAUAAUUUCUGCACUCCCAAGACAGUAGCUCAUCUUCAGUGACAUGAUUUCCCAAGUGAGGUUGGCAUGUGUGUGCGUGUGCAUGUGUGUGACUGACUGCAUGUGUAAAUGCAUCAUGCCUUAGAGCAGAGGUUCUUGAACAUUAGCAUGAAGAUGAUGACCUGGAGGACUUGUCAAAACAGACUGCUGCUGAAGCUGGGGUUGUGGGUCAGCAGUAGAGUGCUCACCUAGUACACUGGGUUGAUCCUCAGCACCACAUAAAAAUGAAAUAAAGAUAUUGUGUCCACCUACAACUAAAAAUUAAUAUUUUUUAAAAAAACAGACUGCUGGUCCCACUCCCAGUUUUUGAUUCUGUAGAUCUAGAGUGGAACCUAAGAAUUUGUAUUUUUAUUUUAUUUUUAUAUCUAUUUUUAAUUCUUUAAAAUUCUUUUUAGAUAUACAUGACAGUAGAGUGUAUUUUGACAUAUUAUAUGUACAUGGGGUAAAACUUCUCAUUCUUAUGGUUGUGCAUGAUGUGGAGUUACAGUGGUCAUGUAUUCAUAUAUGAACAUAGGAAAGUUAAAAUCAGCAUACUGCAGUGACAUAGCUGCAUCAAUGUUUAUAGAAGUUCAAUUCACAAUAGCCAAACUGUGGAACCAACCUGGAUGCCCUUCAAAAGAUGAAUGAAGAAAAGGCGGUAUAUAUACACAAUGGAAUUUACUCAACCAUAAAGAAGAAGGAAAUUAUGUCAUUUGUUGGUAAAUGUCUGGAACUGGAGACUAUCAUGCUAAGUGAAACAAGCCAGUCCCCCAAAACUAAGGGCUGAAUGUUCUCUCUAUGUGGUUGGUAACCCACAAUAAGUGGGGUGGGGUGGGAAGGAGAAGAAUAGAAGUCCAUUGGAUGAGACAAUGGGGAACAAAG
rnacentral:lncRNA from 1 species